AUUGAACGCUGGCGGCAGGCCUAACACAUGCAAGUCGAGCGGAUGACGGGAGCUUGCUCCUGGAUUCAGCGGCGGACGGGUGAGUAAUGCCUAGGAAUCUGCCUGGUAGUGGGGGACAACGUUUCGAAAGGAACGCUAAUACCGCAUACGUCCUACGGGAGAAAGCAGGGGACCUUCGGGCCUUGCGCUAUCAGAUGAGCCUAGGUCGGAUUAGCUAGUUGGUGAGGUAAUGGCUCACCAAGGCGACGAUCCGUAACUGGUCUGAGAGGAUGAUCAGUCACACUGGAACUGAGACACGGUCCAGACUCCUACGGGAGGCAGCAGUGGGGAAUAUUGGACAAUGGGCGAAAGCCUGAUCCAGCCAUGCCGCGUGUGUGAAGAAGGUCUUCGGAUCGUAAAGCACUUUAAGUUGGGAGGAAGGGCAGUAAGCGAAUACCUUGCUGUUUUGACGUUACCGACAGAAUAAGCACCGGCUAACUCUGUGCCAGCCGCCGCAGUAAUAC
rnacentral:rRNA from 1 species